GCCGGAGCCCUCGGGGUCUGGUCCAAUCGGAAGCGGCUGCGACGAUGGCGGCCGAGAGGGGACACGCCGGCAAAUGGUAGACAGUCCCCGGGGCGGCGAAGGAGAAGAGGACGGCCUGUGUCCCCGUAGGCCACCGGGAGGGUUAAUUUAAUACAAAUUCGGAGAGCGGAACCUGGCCGACUGUCAACUUUCCCAGGUGCUGUUACGAAGUGGAGGCUGAAGAACUAAAGUGUCUGGGAGCAGUCCCCUGCCUUUCGUGUCAUGGCCGCCGUGGCUCUGCAGUCUCUGCGCCUGCGCAGCUCGAGUACCAGCCUCCGUUUUUGUGGCAUCCUUCGGGACCUGAGAUCCCAAGCCCAGGAAGGGAACUCGAGUCCCAGAGAUUUACAUGAAAGCAGGAAACAAAGGUAACAUCCCUGGCAGAUGAUGCAGGCCUCAACUGCAGCUGACUAGCCCCCAUAAUUAACUGC